GAAGGGCUGGGCAUGCAGAAGAGCCACCCCACGGGGCAGAGUGGGGAACUGAGCAAGCAGCUUACCUCCCAGAGGUCCCAUGGAAUAGACUGGGCAGCAGGCAGGGGAGAAGGACAGAGGCAGCACAUGGGUUAAGGUUAGACAGGGCACCAGCAGUCCCACCACCAUCCCCCCACGCCAGCCCCAGCAGGCCCAGGGCAGUGUGGUCUGACACAGGUC